rnacentral:misc_RNA from 1 species
UCUCCGUAGGUGAACCUGCGGAGGGAUCAUUACUGAGUGAUGGCCUCCCCGGCCCGACCUCCAACCCUUUGUGAACACAACUUGUUACUUCGGGGGCGACCCUGCCGUUUCGACGGCGAGCGCCCUCGGAGGCCUUCAAACACUGCAUCUUUGCGUCGGAGUUUAAGUAAAUUUAAACAAAACUUUAAACAACGGAUCUCUUGGUUCUGGCAUCGAGAAGAACGCAGC